GUGCUCACUUCUGCAGCACAUAUACUAAAAUUUGGAAUAAUACAGAGAUUAGCAUGGCCCCUUCACAUGGAUGACAUGUAAAUUCAUGAAGCGGUGUAUAUUUUU
ensembl:snRNA U6 U6 spliceosomal RNA